CAGUAGCCGCGGUAAUACGGAGGGAGCUAGCGUUGUUCGGAAUUACUGGGCGUAAAGCGCACGUAGGCGGCUUUGUAAGUCAGAGGUGAAAGCCUGGAGCUCAACUCCAGAACUGCCUUUGAGACUGCAUCGCUCGAAUCCGGGAGAGGUGAGUGGAAUUCCGAGUGUAGAGGUGAAAUUCGUAGAUAUUCGGAAGAACACCAGUGGCGAAGGCGGCUCACUGGACCGGUAUUGACGCUGAGGUGCGAAAGCGUGGGGAGCAAACAGGAUUAGAUACCCGAGUAGUCCCUGUCUCUUAUAC
rnacentral:rRNA from 1 species